rnacentral:misc_RNA from 1 species
AGGCACAUCUUCAACAAACAUUAGAAUUGCAAGAACUGUAACUGUGAUACUGUCACAGAGUGAAAGGAUGAGAGAAGUGGAAGAGAAUGUGAUACUCUUGAAUAUCAAGUUCUCUUUUAGAAUAAAGUGGAGCAUGACUGCUAAAAAUCUUAGACAAUGUAUAAUCCCGGAAACCAAAUAUAUACAGUAAGGCCCAAAAUUAACUUCUCCAUGCACAUUUAUAAAUAGUAAAGAGACCACAGUUCAAGAUAAAUUUUGCAAUGUUUCAACCUUUGGGGACCCCAACUCUCACUUAAAUCUCAGCCAUGCAUGAAAGGGUCCACCAAAGCAUGAUACUCUGUUUUAUCUGAUCGCUU